rnacentral:rRNA from 1 species
UUGCUGUGGUAUUUUGACUAUACGAAGGUAUUGAAAUAAGGUUUUAAAUGAGCGCUAAGAGAAUGGUUUAACGAUUAUAAACUUUCUUUAAUUAAAAAAGUUGAAUUUAAUUUUUUUGUGCAGAAGCAAACAUUGGUUUUAGGGACAAGAAGACCCUAUGAAUUUUAAAUUUAAUUUAUUUAUUUUUAAUAUAAGUUAAAUUUGGUUGGGGCGAUGGAAAAAGAAUAAAUAUCUUUAUUUUAUAAAAUAAAAAGUUCCGUUAUUAACGAUUUAAUGAGAAAAAUACUCUAGGGGUAACAGCGUAAUAAUUUUGGAAAGUUCUUAUUGAUAAAAUAGUUUGCGACCUCGAUGUUGGAUUAGGAUACUUUUUUGGCGAAGAAGUUAAAAAAAGAAGUUUGUUCAACUUUUAAAUUCC